GGUUAAGUGACUAAGCGUACACGGUGGAUGCCUUGGCAGUCAGAGGCGAUGAAGGACGUAUUAACUUGCGAUAAGCCCAGAUUAGGCAGUAAAAACCACUUGAGUCUGGGAUUUCCGAAUGGGGAAACCCACUUACAUAAGUAAGUAUCGUUAUGUGAAUACAUAGCAUAACGAGGCGAACCGGGGGAACUGAAACAU
rnacentral:rRNA from 1 species